CUUUUCUCUGCGAAUUUAAAUUAAUUGAGCUUGAAAGCUGGGUAAAAAUAAUAAUUUAUUUCUAAUGGCACCUCAAUUCCAUAAUGUGUGUGGUGACGCAGAAUAAGGUUUAAGUAAAUCUAUAUGUAUGGCCACACCCACAACAUCAGCCAACUUGAUGAUAUUGCGUAUAUACAUAUCCUUUGCCCUUGCUUUUGCAGCAACUUCUUGCUUCUUACUUCUUAGUCCUCAUACUUUCUACUUG
rnacentral:lncRNA from 1 species